rnacentral:rRNA from 1 species
AUUGAACGCUGGCGGCAUGCUUUACACAUGCAAGUCGAACGGUAACAGGCCUUGGUGCUGACGAGUGGCGAACGGGUGAGUAAUGCAUCGGAACGUGCCCAAUCGUGGGGGAUAACGUAGCGAAAGUUACGCUAAUACCGCAUAAGCCCUGAGGGGGAAAGCAGGGGAUCGCAAGACCUUGCGCGAAUGGAGCGGCCGAUGUCAGAUUAGCUAGUUGGUGGGGUAAAGGCCUACCAAGGCGACGAUCUGUAGCGGGUCUGAGAGGAUGAUCCCGCCACACUGGGACUGAGACACAGCCCAGACUCCUACGGGAGGCAGCAGUU